rnacentral:misc_RNA from 1 species
AUAUAUUUAUUAUUACGCAUUAUACGUCUAUAUUUUCGGCGCACUUGACAUUAGUCUCGAGAUUGGCUCGACGUGGCCAGCAUCAUCUUGCUCUCGCUCGGCUCUUUUUAACCUGCCUGCCAUUUUGCGCAAUCUUUGAACUUGUCAGGAUCGUCAGUGACCGAGUAUUUAACGGUGGUGCCCGCGAUCGUAUGUGAAUUUGUCGCGAAUUUGGCGCGAUUGAUCGCGGUCGACGUGCGGCUUGUUGGACGAAACCGCGGCCCCGGACCCCCCCCGGAGGCCCCGGAUGCGCGUGGUGGAAAUACGGAAUAGAUACGGGACAAACGACUUCCGUUUAGGCAUCUCUCGCUGGCUGCUACUGCGCCUUCAGUCCUUGUACGCGUCUGCUACGGAGGUCUCGCUCCUCGCCAGCUAGCGUGACUCAUAAUAACACGAAUGUUAGUGUGAACAGUCGUGUUACAUUUUGAGAUAGUCAAAGAUUGGAAGACAGCAGGGAUUAUAUACAAGUAUCGUGAUCAUCCUCAACAACAACGAUGGAUAUAGAUCCGCCUGAAUUCCUGUCAAAGGAUGACGAGAUUCAAUAUUGGAUGGAGUUAGCUCAUCAAAUGCAUCAAAGAAAAUAUGAUGUUGAACGUGAACUGGAAGAAUUUCAAGAGAAUUCACAAAUGUUGGAGAAAGAAUUAGAAACUUCCUUGGAACAAGCGGAAAAAACAAAUAGGGAAUUGAGACAGAGAAAUACAAGACUUGCCACAGAAGUUGAACAGUUGAGAAUGCGAUUAGAUCAGCAGUCUACAGAUUGUGCCAUGUUCCAAGGAAAAGCGCAAGAUUUACAGCAACAGCACGAGCAUCUUCUAAAAUACAUUAGAGAACUUGAACAAAAAAAUGACGACUUAGAAAGAGCACAUAGGAUAAAUAGGGUUACAGAAGAGGAAAUAGAAGCUAAGUUUAAUUUAGCUAUAGAAAAGAAUGCCUUACUUGAAUCUGAACUCGAUGAAAAAGAAAGCCUAAAAGUAAUAGUGCAAAGACUGAUGGACGAAGUUAGAGAUUUGAAGCAGGAGAUACAAGUACAUGAAAGGCAUCACGCUGAUAAUAAUAAGUCCGCCGAGAGAGUUCGUAACAACAUUGACAGUAAUAAGCUACAGGCCGAAUUGGAAUCAAAUUCACCCGCUAGCCAGAUAGUUUCACAAACCAUAUCUUCGAAUAAUACAACGACUUCGCCGAUGAAACUUGGGCAUGGAAUGGUAGGGGGUGUUAUUGGAAACAACAAUAAUAAUAAUAGCCAGCCAUUGCCACCUUGUACCAGAAUACUGGCAAUGAAUAUGAUUGGUGAUCUCAUGCGAAAAGUCGGGCUUGACAGAUGGGUCUGCAUGGGCUGUAGGAGAAUAAAAUGCACUUGUCCAAGCGGACAGAUAUCAAAUACCACAUCAUCUACUGUCUUAUCAGCGGCUCAGACUCACGUAUCUACUCAAUGUAUAAGCCAACAACCUAGAUCAACCGCGUACAGAUCUUCAAUGUGAUUUCUCGUCCUUAUAUUAUUUUGCAUCUCCUUAAAGAGCAGGCGCUGGAAAAUAAGCUGAACACAAGCAGAAACGCGUUUCGAGAAGAUCAAGUUCGUGAUCUCUACAGAGCUAGACGGCAAGUCAGAAGCCCAGCCACAGGAAACAACAACCACAUUCGAUUGUAAACGCAGGAUAAUGUCGCAGUGCAAUCAUAUAUCCGCAC